GAUAAACGCUGGCGGCGUGCCUAAUACAUGCAAGUCGAACGAACCUUCGGGUUAGUGGCAAACGGGUGAGUAACGCGUUGGUAUCCACCUCUAUCUCGGGCAUAAUUUACCGAAAGGUGGACUAAUUCCCGAUAGUCUCUUCGGAGUAAAGAUUUAUCGGAUAGAGAGGAACCUGCGUCCUAUCACCUUGUUGGUGAGGUAAUGGCUCACCAAGGCUCUGACGGGUAGCUGGUCUGAGAGGAUGAUCAGCCACAAUGGGACUGAGAUACGGCCCAUACUCCUACGGGAGGCAGCAGUAAGGAAUUUUGCACAAUGGACGAAAGUCUGAUGCAGCAACGCCGCGUGAAGGAUGAAGUAUUUCGGUAUGUAAACUUCUUUUAAGAGGGAUGAAGUAUGACAGUACCUCUUGAAUAAGCACCGGCUAACUACGUGCCAGCCGCCGCGGUAA
rnacentral:rRNA from 1 species